rnacentral:lncRNA from 10 species
UUUCUGUUGGCAUGCAGUGUGGUGUUUGUUCUUUUGCUCUUUGCAAUAAAUCUUGUUGCUGCUCACUGUUUGGGUCUGCACUGCCUUUAUGAGCUGUAACACUUAUUGUGAAGGUCUGCAGGUUGACUCCUGAGGCCAGGGAGACCACGAACCCACCGGUAGGAAGAAACUCUGGACACAUCCGAACAUCAGAAGGAGCAAACUCCAGACACACCAUCUUUAAGAACUGCAACACUCACCGGAGGGUCCGCGGCUUCAUUGUUGAAGUCAGCGAGACCAAGAACCCACCAAUUCCAGAUGCAGUCUCACCUGUAUAUGGAAUUUAAUAAAGCCAGACUCAUGGAAGCAGAGAGUAGAGCAGAGGUUGCCAGAAGCUUGGAUUGGAGGUAAAACCCAAAGACAACAGAAGAAACAAAAAGAAGGACAUUAAAAGAAUUUGAAACUCUGACACCUGUUGCCACAGCAAAUAUUCAACAUAGCCCAACUCCUUCCCAAGUGAACAUAAAACCUCAUACUAAAGGUAUAUUGAGAGAUUUGUGAUCUUACUUAGAUGAUGUGUGAGACAGUAAAUGAAAUGAGGAGCAUUCACUUAAAUGUUGCUGAGCAUUUCUGUCUUCUGGGCUCCAGUAUCUGAGAGUUGAUUAUGAGUUUCUUCUAAUAUCAUAAGAAUGAAGGCAUACAAACAUCUUGAAGUACAAUAUGAAAUUUGUAAGUAUUUCUAGUGAGACUGUGGGAGAAAGCCAAUAAUUGUUCCUGGCAAUAAAUGGAAUAUUAAAAAAAAAAACCCUUGAUGAUAUGUUAACAAUCUCAAUUCCCAAUAUGCUGCCUCACUUGGGUUUGUACUCUUUUUAUGGUAAAGCUUUUUAUAAUAUGUCAACCGGCUGCUAUGAAUGGCAUCUAAACAC